AAUUUUUUUUAGUGCACAAAAAAGUAAAUUUCAAAAUUUCACGAUAAAUGAGAAAAAUU
rnacentral:tRNA from 1 species